CACAGAAGGCAUGUCUUUCACUAUAAUCUUAUUAUUGUGGCUGCUCUGGUGAUUGUUGACUGAUAUUGAAGGUGUGUAUGAUAUAUUUCGGUCUUUCUAUUGUUUUUCGCAAUUUCGUAGUAUCAGAUGAGUAAUUUUUCUGUAUUUGCAUACUGAAAAAUCAGUGACCCUUAAUCUACGAAACAAUGUCUUCCAAUAAAGAAUUUUAUAGCGACUAAAUAAGUAUAAAAACCUUGUGCAAGAAAGGUUACUGGUAGCGUUUUCAUGUCAUAUGAAAUCAUUACGGCUAUCAAGUCCUUAGAUCAAAUCAACUGAUCUUGCAAAUUAUGGAAAUGUUAUCUCCCGUAAUAAAUUUUAUUUAUUUAUUCAUCACCGUUCAGAGCGAUUUGGCCGCCGCAGUGAAUGCCAGGUCACUUGCGUGCCCAAGCCUUUCGCCGCGCCACAUACCCAGCUGCGCCGCUGUCACUUCCAGGCAGUCUGGUGCAACGCCACACCGCAGGUAGCCGUCCUCUGCGCCACACCGAUGUAGCAGGGUAGUAUGUUCCGGUUGCGCGCUGCCAUCCAGGAAACGUGCAUGUUAUGGCCGCACUGCCGUCAACACCGCAGACAUCAUCUUCGCCACCGUUUCCUGCCACCAUCGUCCAACAGGAUGCAGCUGUUGAUGACUUACCACCGCUGCAACUAAUUCUAACCACCUGCUUAUAUGCUCCUGCAGAAGUUGCAAUGUAUCACAGUGCGCCACUGCCCACCGCGGCCAGCGAUCUCCGUCGCUGCCAGUGCCAACAGCUGAUCGGCGCACCAUCCGCUGUCGACCAAAUUCUCUCACGUUACAAGAUGCUGAAGGAAGCAAAUGCUUCAAGGACUGUAUCCAUUCUCAUGGCGCAGAAGAUCUGUUGGAAUCACUCCAACUAGUAUAAGCUCUAUAGGCCAUGUUAUUACUAAUUGUGAAAAUAUUGCCACAGCUGCUGUUGUAAAUGGUCACAUCUCUGACCAUCUAGGCCAACUGUUAGUGCUAAAGGGAGAUCCUUGUAUAAAACCAAAGAAAAUUUAUUUAACACAAAAGAAAUCUCUCUGUUAUCAACAUUGUCAAACUGAGAGAGAGCCUUUGUCAUGAAUCUUGGCAUCUAGUAUUUCAAGCCGAAGGAGUGAACAAUAAAUGAGAUGCCUCCUAGAUUAAUUAUCUUUUCAUCAAAACAAUACUAUUCCCAUCAGAAAGAUAAAUAUGAAUAAGAACAAGGCAAGACAGUCAAGACCUGUGGAAUUUAAUAAUUCUACCAAAGAACUCAAAGAUAAAAUGGAAGAAAUGUAUUUGAUACAAAGAAAGACCAAAACCAAUGAGCACAGGGAUAAAUACAAACAAUAUAAGUACCAAUUUUGCAAGCAAGUCAAAAGAUUGAAGGCUGAAAAGAUUAACUCGAAAAUACAAAAAUCAGAUUGUCUCUCCAAGACCUGCUGGUCAAUCGUAAAUGAAAUAAGAGACAAUAAAACAAAACUAAAAGGUAUCAUCAACGUACAGAUAUCUAAUAACAAUAUUGAUGUCACCAUCCCUCAGAUCAGUAACAUUUUUAAUGACUAUUUCAUAGAUAUCAUAGAAUCUGACUUUUUUUACCACAGAUAAAGUACCUGUUGGAAGUCUUGCUGAGGACAAUUCUGAAUCUACUCAACUCCAUGAACUUGAAAUCAAGGAUAUUUUGUAGGUCAUCAGAAUGUGUAAAAACAAAAUAAUCCGCUGGCUGGGAUGAAAUUUCUCCAUUUUUACUUAGACAGUGGAAAAAUAAUCUAGCAUAUCCUUUGGUGCAUCUAAUAAUUAGAAACUUGCUUUCACUUCCGUUUUUGCAAGUUAAUUGAAAUAAUAAUUCUGAAAUAUAUGUUAGAACAUUAUAAUAAGCACAACAUCCUGGGAGAUUUUCGGCAUGGUUUCAGAAGUGGUUGUAACACCAUGACUGCAACACUUCAAUUUAUGCUCAAAGCUCUUGACACAGUUGAUGAAGGCAUUCAACUAGCUGGAGUUUUCCUUGACUUAUCAAAGGCUUUUGAUAGGGUUGAUCAUAAGGUACUUCUGUCAAAACUGGCCAGAGAUGGCAUAAGUGGAAAACUAUUGCACCUCAUCAUAUCGUAUUUAAAACACAGAAAAUAGUGUACCUCAAUCUCACACAAUAAUGGUGAAACAUUAAAAAGUUAUACAUCAGGGGUCAGGAAUGAUUAAAUUUGGUCUGCCUCAGGGAUCGAUGAUUGGUCCCUUCCUUUUUAUAUGUUACGUUAAUGACUUCCCAAAGAUAGUAAAAAAUAUGCCUUCAUUACAAUGUAUGCAGAUGACACUUCAUGCUUUUGUUGGGUAAAUGAUAUUUUUAAUCUCGGCAUAGAGGUAAAAAAAAUUAUAGAUAUUGCAAAGGACAAGUUUGAAAAUGACAUUCUAAAAGUCAACUUACAAAAAACAAAUAUAAUUCCCUUCAAUGUUGGUGAUUUGCAGACUUGUAUUGAUUCUCAAGAUAGUAAUAUUGUAGGGAAAAUCUGCAAUGAUUCUAAAUUCCUAGGUACCGUAUAUGCAUAGUUAGCAAACUACUAUGGACGCAACAAACUGACAAUGUAUGUACCAGGCUAUCAUCUAGCCUAUAUUUUUUAAGAAGAAUAGCUCCAUACAUCAAUACCCAAACAAUGUGGGUGAUGUAUUUUGGUUUAAUACACCCAUUUCUAGCAUAUGGUCUUUCAUUGUGGGGCGGGGCUUCCAAAACUCAUGUAGACCGAGUAUUUAAACUCCAGCAAAGAGACUUGAGAAUAUUAGGUGAAAAAUAUACUAGAACAUCAUGAAAUGGAUAGUUUAUAGAUUUUAAAAUUCUGACUAUGUAUUCUAUGUAUAUGUUUGAAACAGUAGUAUUAACUGUAGAAGAUAAGAAAUAUACAUAUUGUAAUGCAGGAAUAAGUACAAAAUUUCCAUAUGAUAAAACAGAAGACUGAAAAAAAAAACAGCAAACAGUUCAUAUAUUAAUGGAGCAAAAUACUUCAACGCACUGCCAAAUGAAUUGAAGGUAAUAACUGGAGAGACAUUCAAAAAACAUCGAAAAUCGUGGCUCAUUGAGCAGUGCUUCUAUAGCCUACUGUAGAAACUAAAUCUAAAGUAUUAUUAUGUCAAAUAACUUGGACUACAUUCAAAGUUACUGUUGUAAAUUUAGAUUGUAUACUGUUGUAUUGUACUACCAAGUGCUAUGCAUGUAAUUACAUGUUUCAUGCAAAUAAAUUACAAACUAUUGACCAAUGAAAUUGUUGGUAAUGUUGUCAAUU